AAGGACCGUUAAAAGCGAAGCCAGUGCCUGGUCAUUUCUGACGNUAAAAGACGAAAGCGUGGGAANCAACCAGNAUUAGAUACCCUGGUAGUCCACGCCGUAAACUAUGAGUACUAGGUGUUGGGGGUUCGAUCCCNUCAGUGCGGUAGCUAACGCGUUAAGUACUCCGCNUGAGGACUACGGUCGCAAGACUAAAACUCAAAGGAAUAGACGGGGACCCACACAAGCGGUGGAGCAUGUUGUUUAAUUCGACAAUAAACGAGAAACCUUACCCAGGUUUGACAUCCCAAGAAUCCCUGAGAAAUCGGGGAGUGCCGCAAGGAGCUUGGUGACAGGUGCUGCAUGGUUGUCGUCAGCUCGUGCCUUGAGGUGUUCAGUUAAGUCCGUGAACGAGCGCAACCCUCGUCCUAUGUUAUAUUUCUCAUAGGAGACUGCCCAUGUUAAAUGGGAGGAAGGUGAGGAUGAUGUCAAAUCAGCAUGGCCCUUAUACCUGGGGCUACUAACGUGCUACAAUGGAGUAUACAAUGGGUAGCGAAACAGCAAUGUCGAGCCAAUCUCAUCAAAGUACUUCUCAGUUCGGAUCGGGGGCUGCAACUCGACCCCGUGAAGUUGGAAUCGCUAGUAAUCGUGAAUCAGCUAUGUCACGGUGAAUAUGUUCCUGGGUCUUGUACUCACCGCCCGUCAAGUCAUGGAAGUUCAGGGCACCCGACAACUCCAAAGUAAUUAUGGGGGCUAAGGUGAAAUGAAUGACUGGGACUAAGUCGUAACAAGGUAACC
rnacentral:rRNA from 1 species